CCCUUAGAUGUUCUGGGCCGCACACGCGCUACACUGAAGGAGGCAGCGUGUACUCCUGGAUCGAAAGAUUUGGGUAACCCGCGAAUCUCCUUCGUGCUAGGGAUUGAGGUUUGCAAUUAUCCUUCAUGAACGAGGAAUUCCCAGUAAGUGCAAGUCAUAAGCUUGCGCUGACUACGUCCCUGCCCUUUGUACACACCGCCCGUCGCUACUACCGAUUAAAUGAUUUAGUGAGGACUUCGGACUGGGACCGAUGCGGCUUUCGGGCUGCGUCGGUAUUCUGGAAAGAUGUCCAAACUGUAUCAUUUAGAGGAAGUAAAANUCGUAACA
rnacentral:rRNA from 1 species